rnacentral:pre_miRNA from 1 species
GAGACACCCUUAUAGUGCAGGACUUGCUUCAGUGGGGCUUUGGCAUUCACUGAGUCUGCCCCCUGAUGUGUCUCU